rnacentral:rRNA from 1 species
GACGAACGCUGGCGGCGUGCCUAAUACAUGCAAGUCGAGCGAAGUUUUUCUGGUGCUUGCACCGGAAAAACUUAGCGGCGAACGGGUGAGUAACACGUAAAGAACCUGCCUCAUAGACUGGGACAACUAUUGGAAACGAUAGCUAAUACCGGAUAAUAGCAUUAACUGCAUGGUUGAUGUUUAAAAGUUGGUUUUGCUAACACUAUGAGAUGGCUUUGCGGUGCAUUAGCUAGUUGGUGGGGUAAAGGCCUACCAAGGCGACGAUGCAUAGCCGACCUGAGAGGGUGAUCAGCCACACUGGGACUGAGACACGGCCCAGACUCCUACGGGAGGCAGCAGUAGGGAAUCUUCCGCAAUGGGCGAAAGCCUGACGGAGCAACGCCGCGUGAGUGAAGAAGGAUUUCGGUUCGUAAAGCUCUGUUGUUAGGGAAGAAUGAUUGUGUAGUAACUAUACACAGUAGAGACGGUACCUAACCAGAAAGCCACGGCUAACUACGUG